UAAACGGAUGCGAUGACGAUCGGCUGG
rnacentral:piRNA from 1 species